AACGAACGCUGGCGGCGUGCCUAACACAUGCAAGUCGAACGGAAUCAAGGGGCUUGCUCCUUGGUUUAGUGGCGCACGGGUGAGUAACGCGUGGAUAAUCUGCCCUGGUAUCUGGGAUAACAUUUCGAAAGGGGUGCUAAUACCGGAUAAGCCCACGGGGUCUUCGGACCUUGCGGGAAAAGGUGGCCUCUGAAUAUGCUACUGUAUCAGGAUGAGUCCGCGUUCCACUAGCUAGUUGGCGGGGUAACGGCCCACCAAGGCGACGAUGGGUAGCUGGUCUGAGAGGAUGAUCAGCCACACUGGAACUGAGACACGGUCCAGACUCCUACGGGAGGCAGCAGUGGGGAAUUUUGCGCAAUGGGGGAAACCCUGACGCAGCAACGCCGCGUGAGUGAUGAAGGCCUUCGGGUCGUAAAGCUCUGUCAGAGGGAAAGAAGUGUAGGAGGGUUAAUACCCCUUUUACUUGACGGUACCCUCAAAGGAAGCACCGGCUAACUCCGUGCCAGCAGCCGCGGUAAUACGGAGGGUGCGAGCGUUGUUCGGAAUUAUUGGGCGUAAAGCGCGUGUAGGCGGUUUUUUAAGUCUGAUGUGAAAGCCCUGGGCUCAACCCGGGAAGUGCAUUGGAAACUG
rnacentral:rRNA from 1 species